CCUACGGGUGACAGCAGUGGGGAAUAUUGGACAAUGGGGGGAACCCUGAUCCAGCGACGCCGCGUGAGUGAAGAAGUAUUUCGGUAUGUAAAGCUCUAUCAGCAGGGAAGAAAGAAAUGACGGUACCUGACUAAGAAGCCCCGGCGAACUACGUGCCAGCAGCCGCGGUAAUACGUAGGGGGCAAGCGUUAUCCGGAUUUACUGGGUGUAAAGGGAGCGUAGACGGCGAUGCAAGUCUGAAGUGAAAGGCGGGGGGCCAACCCCCGGACUGCUUUGGAAACUGUAUGGCUGGAGUGCAGGAGAGGUAAGUGGAAUUCCUAGUGUAGCGGUGAAAUGCGUAGAUAUUAGGAGGAACACCAGUGGCGAAGGCGGCUUACUGGACUGUAACUGACGUUGAGGCUCGAAAGCGUGGGGAGCAAACAGGAUUAGAUACCCCAGUAGUC
rnacentral:rRNA from 1 species